UACAGAGGUCUCAAGCGUUGUUCGGAUUCAUUGGGCGUAAAGGGUGCGUAGGCGGCGGGGCAAGUCUGAUGUGAAAUCCCGGGGCUCAACCCCGGAACUGCAUUGGAUACUGCCUUGCUUGAGUACUGGAGAGGAGACUGGAAUUUACGGUGUAGCAGUGAAAUGCGUAGAUAUCAGGAGGAACACCGAUGGCGAAGGCAGGUCUCUGGGCUGACACUGACGCUCAUGCACGAAAGCGUGGGGAGCAAACAGG
rnacentral:rRNA from 1 species